GGAUUAUAUCAGCAAGCAGCUGCCUCCAAGGCAUUAUUUUUGCCAGACUGUCAGGCUGGCUGUGCCAGCUUCUCCCUGUUACAGGGACAGGGUAUCCCUACCGAAUAAGCCCUGGGGCAGCAGAGCUCUGCAGCUGGGGAGCCCCGAAGGGCAGCGCUGUUACCAGCUGUGCAGCCUCCAGGGGAAUCGGGGCUGGGCGGAGGUGCCUGAUGAGCACUCCUCUGCUCCCCUCUGCGCACUGCAAAUGAGAAGAAAUACAGUGGCUAGCUACCAUGGAAAAUGUGUGUCCUUGCUGGAGUCCUGCAGCGUCCUCCUGGCCCGGCUGGAGGGGCACCCCUGCACCCGGGGAGCGGUCUGCGCGCUCCUCCUGGCGGCUCUGCUGCCGAGCCUUCAGCCCCACAGCCGGGCUGGCCGCUGCACCCACCGCCGAGGCGGCUUCCAGAAAUCCCUGCAGCCAGUCUGUCUGAAAUAGACACUGCGCUACGCUGCGCUCCACUCGAUCUUCACACACAGCACUGCUCAGGCUUGUGAAAUAUGAGGAUUCGAUCGAACUCUGAGGUUACAGAGCGCCAGCGGCCGACUUUGAAAAUUAAGUAAGGAAGACUUUUAAAAUGUAUUGUUGGUAACAGCUGGCAACCUCAACCAAGACUGCAGACUCCAAUCGUGCCAAUGAAGCAGCUCACAGUUCUACAGGUGUCCUGGACAGUGACAUUCAAAUGAAUACAUUGCAGAAGAAGAAACGGUGUUCCACCACAUAAUAUGGGAUAAUUACUACAGACCAGCUGGUGCCUCACAGGGAAGGAGAGCAGAUCACCACCCCGUGCUCCUUGAGAGUGGCCUGGCUAGAGCUGAGAAUCACUUGAGAGACUUGAACAUGCCAGCCUCUUCUGGAGGAAGAACAGGCUCACGGGCUGCUGUCUCACAGGAGAGAAUGGGCUCUGAGGACAGAUUGGGCUUUCAUAAAGAUGACUGUAUGCAUCUUAUAUAGAGUUAAUUAUUCUGCUCCCAAGCCAGCUGGAGUAGUGUACAUGGAAUCUUACAAUUUAAAGCACUUAUGACUUCAAAAUAGCCUCUUAUUUGUAUGUAGUCCAUCAAGGUUAGUAUUACUUGACUAUUAUGUGGUAGGGAAGGGAAAGUCGAGGCAUUUGGAGGUCACAGAGAGGAGUCCACAUACUGUUGUGUGAGAAGAAGCCUCAGUACAUUUCUCCAAACCAGAGUUUAUAUUUAGAAGGGCAUGAUCAGCAUAUACCAGGGUUUCUUCUAGCAUGUGUAGAGUGUUCUGCAGGCUUUGUCUCAAAAUAACCUUUGAGAAGACUCUUAAAACAGUGAUGAAAGCACUGUCUAAUGAGGUAAAUAAUGGCAGAUAGUGUUAAUCAGUGCUGGCACGAAGACUCAAAGAAAAAGAUGUGCCAAAAUACCAAAUGUGGUGUUGUUUCUAUAUUAUACUUUCAUUUUAUUCACAGUUGAAGUCCUUUCACAAUAUAUCAUUUUGUCUGCAAUAGCAAAAGCCCUGUAAGAUAUUCUGAAUUACUUCAAUCAUCCCCAAUGAAAUUAUGCCUUUCAGUUAGCUAAUUUCCACUUUUGCCCUCUAAUAUACUCAGCAUGCUAGGGAGGAGGUUGUACUUAGCCCUCCUGUUAUCCGUUGCUUUUCUGAGUGAGUAAAGAAAUUAACUUAAAUCUACAGCCAGAGAGAAAGUCCUCUUGUUAACAAGCACUGGUAGUGUUUGGAAGAUUUAAGAUGCUUUUGAAGAUACACCUUCAGCCUCAUUCAGUCAGCCCAUUCACCAUGGCAAACAUUGUUCUUUAAGAGUUCUUGCUUGAUAUAAUCCUUUACCAUGAAACACUCUUGCUUUAAUUUCUUUUGCCUUUUCUAUAUUUUUACCUUCAAGCCAGAUUUUACUCAACUCUUUCUUAAAAAGAAAUUUUAUCUGAGUAAAAACAUUUAACCUGUUUGCUCUGGAUUUUUAUCUUUCUUCACUAAAAUCUGUUCAGUAAAUCUGAAUCUGUUCUGACACCCGCCACAGAGCCACACUGACCAUGGGUGAGGAUAGAAUUUGGCUCUAUUCAUUUAAAAAGGGUAGGUGUUAAAGGAAGAGAAGCUCUAGCCUAACCUGACUACGUCUAAUGUAGCUCAUCUUUGCAGAUCCUCUGGGAGAACAUCUGAACAGACACAGUCACACUAACAUUUAGUUCCAUAUGACUUUUUCCAUCCUUUUUCAAGUAUGUAUCAAUCUCUUGAAAUAAUGUCUUGAUGAGUAACUUUCUACUGCACCAAUUAUGAGCUUUUGUAAUAAUUGAGUAGGCAUAGAGCUUUGAUCUAGUAUUGAAGAGAUUAACUUGCCUUUAGCCAGGCUACCGCAUCUUUUUCAGACUGGAUAAACAGGAAUCCUUGCAUCACGUUCUCCGUCUUGAGUAACUAAUUAGGGCCAAUUAUACUUUA